UACGUAGGGUCCGAGCGUUGUCCGGAAUUAUUGGGCGUAAAGGGCUCGUAGGCGGUUCGUCACGUCGGGAGUGAAAACUCGGAGCUUAACUCCGAGCCUGCUUCCGAUACGGGCAGACUAGAGGUAGGCAGGGGAGAGCGGAACUCCUGGUGUAGCGGUGGAAUGCGCAGAUAUCAGGAAGAACACCCGUGGCGAAGGCGGCCAGCUGGACCGACCCUGACGCUGAGGCGCGAAGGCGUGGGGAGCGAACGGG
rnacentral:rRNA from 1 species